rnacentral:rRNA from 1 species
CAGCCGCCACGGUAAUACAGAGGGUGCGAGCGUUAAUCGGAUUUACUGGGCGUAAAGCGUGCGUAUGCGGCUUCUUAAGUCGGAUGUGAAAUCCCUGAGCUUAACUUAGGAAUUGCAUUCGAUACUGGGAAGCUAGAGUAUGGGAGAGGAUGGUAGAAUUCCAGGUGUAGCGGUGAAAUGCGUAGAGAUCUGGAGGAAUACCGAUGGCGAAGGCAGCCAUCUGGCCUAAUACUGACGCUGAGGUACGAAAGCAUGGGGAGCAAACAGGAUUAGAUACCCCAGUAGUCCCUGUCUCUUAUAC